rnacentral:rRNA from 1 species
AGCGGCGGACGGGUGAGUAAUGCCUGGGAAUAUGCCCUGAUGUGGGGGAUAACUAUUGGAAACGAUAGCUAAUACCGCAUAAUCUCUUCGGAGCAAAGAGGGGGACCUUCGGGCCUCUCGCGUCAGGAUUAGCCCAGGUGGGAUUAGCUUGUUGGUGAGGUAAUGGCUCACCAAGGCAACGAUCCCUAGCUGGUCUGAGAGGAUGACCAGCCACACUGGAACUGAGACACGGUCCAGACUCCUACGGGAGGCAGCAGUGGGGAAUAUUGCACAAUGGGGGAAACCCUGAUGCAGCCAUGCCGCGUGUGUGAAGAAGGCCUUCGGGUUGUAAAGCACUUUCAGUAGGGAGGAAGGUAGUGUAGUUAACACCUGCAUUAUUUGACGUUACCUACAGAAGAAGCACCGGCUAACUCCGUGCCAGCAGCCGCGGUAAUACGGAGGGUGCGAGCGUUAAUCGGAAUUACUGGGCGUAAAGCGCAUGCAGGCGGCCUGUUAAGUCAGAUGUGAAAGCCCGGGGCUUAACCUCGGAAUUGCAUUUGAAACUGGCAGG